rnacentral:rRNA from 1 species
UACGGAGGGUGCGAGCGUUAAUCGGAAUAACUGGGCGUAAAGCGCACGCAGGCGGACUUUUAAGUGAGAUGUGAAAUCCCCGGGCUUAACUUGGGAAUUGCAUUUCAAACUGGGAGGCUAGAGUCCUUUAGGGAGGGGUAGAAUUCCACGUGUAGCGGUGAAAUGCGUAGAGAUGUGGAGGAAUACCGAAGGCGAAGGCGGCCCCUUGGGAAUGUACUGACGCUCAGGUGCGAAAGCGUGGGGAGCAAACAGG